rnacentral:lncRNA from 1 species
UGUUUAUUUUCUUCUUUCCAUGGCUGCUUGCAGCUGACAUUAUAGAAUGUCAUACUCUCCUCCCUGACAUUCUUCAAAUUUUCCAGAUCACAGCGUUCAUUUUCAGAGAUGCUUUAAUUCUGAUUUCUAUGGGGAGGAUGACCGAAUGAAAAUGUAUCCAAAGAAGAAAACCAAACCAAGCUAACCCUCAUACGAGAAUAGAGGCGACUCUUUCCUUUGAUUAAGAUAAAAUGCUCUGGAUGUGUGAAAUAUAAAAUAAAAAUAUGUUAAUUAGGUACUACAACAAUAUGAAAACAAAAUAUAAAACUAAAAUAUAUAAGAAUUUGAAA